GACGAACGCUGGCGGCGUGCCUAAUACAUGCAAGUCGAACGAGAGCGACCGGUGCUUGCACUGGUCAAUCUAGUGGCGAACGGGUGAGUAACACGUGGGUAACCUGCUCAUCAGAGGGGGAUAACAUCCGGAAACGGAUGCUAAAACCGCAUAGGUCUUCGAGCCGCAUGGCUUGAAGAGGAAAAGAGGCGCAAGCUUCUGCUGAUGGAUGGACCCGCGGUGCAUUAGCUAGUUGGUGAGGUAACGGCUCACCAAGACCGUGAUGCAUAGCCGACCUGAGAGGGUGAUCGGCCACAUUGGGACUGAGACACGGCCCAAACUCCUACGGGAGGCAGCAGUAGGGAAUCUUCCGCAAUGGACGCAAGUCUGACGGAGCAACGCCGCGUGAGUGAAGAAGGUUUUCGGAUCGUAAAACUCUGUUGUUAGAGAAGAACAAGUGCUAGAGUAACUGUUAGCGCCUUGACGGUAUCUAACCAGAAAGCCACGGCUAACUACGUG
rnacentral:rRNA from 1 species